rnacentral:rRNA from 1 species
UCAGCCGCCGCGGUAAAACCAGCACCUCGAGUGGUCAGGAGGUUUAUUGGGCCUAAAGCAUCCGUAGCCGGUUGUUUAAGUUUUCGGUUAAAUCUAUGCGCUUAACGUAUAGGCUGCCGAAAAUACUGGACAGCUAGGGAGUGGGAGAGGUACACGGUACUCAAUAGGAAGGGGUAAAAUCCUUUGACCUGUUGAUGACCACCUGUGGCGAAGGCGGUGUACCAGAACACGUUCGACGGUGAGGGAUGAAAGCUGGGGGAGCAAACCGGAUUAGAUACCCGGGUAGUCCCAGCUGUGAACGAUGCAAACUCGGUGAUGCAUUGGCUUGUGGCCAAUGCAGUGCCGCAGGGAAGCCGUUAAGUUUGCCGCCUGGGAAGUACGUACGCAAGUAUGAAACUUAAAGGAAUUGGCGGGGGAGCACA